CGCUUGGUAGGGAGGGAUGCAGAGGCUGAUGCGUGGGUCGCCAGGAGGUGGAGAGGGUUUGCAACAGCUGGAGGAAAGAAGAUGACGCACUUAUGCUGAAGGCUGUUGACAUCAGCGGUCAAGCUGAAGCCAUAAGACAGGUUAAGAAGAUAUUAACCAGGUGUAUCUGUAUUCUGCAUCAUGGCGCCCUCCAAGGCAGACGUGUUUUGGUGUUCCACUCCCGAAUGGCUGCUGUGUAUGUUAGCCCAAGAGCUAAUUCCUCGUCGGCUCUCAGCAAACUCCACGACAUCAUUAGC